rnacentral:tRNA from 1 species
GUGGAUGUCGCCAAGCGGUUAAGGCACCGGACUGUGACUCCGGCAUUCGCGGGUUCAAAUCCCGUCAUUCGCC